CUUCAUAGAAACAGAGACACAUCUUACUCAGUUAUACAGUUAUAAAGAAUUAUGGGGUAUAAUUUGAAUUUUCUGUCAAAGAAAACAUUCAGUGAGGCUCCCAGGAGGAACCCAUCCAGAGACCCAAGAAGAUGCAGCGUGAUGACAAUUUGAUUUGCAUGCAAUGCAAGUGCAAUUAUUAUGGCAAAGGUGACCAGUUUUCGUCGAUGGUUCACCGAUGCUCGAUGGUCACCCCCAGCCGAAGUGGAUGGCUGCGCUCCAGCCAAGCCAAGCCAAGUCAAACCAAUCGAAUUCAAGCCGAUGCGAUACACUCCCCUGGUCCAUUCGAUGGCUAUUUUGCAUAAAUGUCAUUAUUGUUGCCGCUGAGCCUGAGCUGCAGUCAGGAGUCAAGAGCUGGACGCGGACGCGGACUCGGAUUCGGAUUCGGAUUUGGAUUCGGAAUCGGGAGUCGAGAGUCAAGAGUCUGGACCGGACACUAUCUCAAACUGAUUGACAGUUGAAUUGAAAAGUUUGGCGACAUUUCUCCUUAUUUGAUUUGUUGUUGCCGCUCUCGUCCUGGGCAAGAUAUGCAAAAAUUGCGGAAAA